rnacentral:rRNA from 1 species
GAUCCUGGCUCAAGACGAACGCUGGCGGCGUGCUUAACACAUGCAAGUCGAACGAGAAUCUACUGAAAGAGUUUUCGGACAAUGGAAGUAGAGGAAAGUGGCGGACGGGUGAGUAACGCGUGAGGAACCUGCCUUGAAGAGGGGUGACAACAGUUGGAAACGACUGCUAAUACCGCAUGAAGCAUAGGGGUCGCAUGAUUCUUAUGCCAAAGAUUUAUCGCUUCAAGAUGGCCUCGCGU